UACGUAGGGGGCAAGCGUUGUCCGGAUUUAUUGGGCGUAAAGAGCGUGUAGGCGGCUUUACAGGUCCGUUGUGAAAACUCGAGGCUCAACCUCGAGACGCCGGUGGAAACCGUAAGGCUAGAGUCCGGAAGAGGAGAGUGGAAUUCCUGGUGUAGCGGUGAAAUGCGCAGAUAUCAGGAAGAACACCCGUGGCGAAGGCGGCUCUCUGGACGGUACUGACGCUGAGACGCGAAAGCGUGGGGAGUGAACAGG
rnacentral:rRNA from 1 species